GACGAACGCUGGUGGCGUGCUUAACACAUGCAAGUCGAGCGGUAAGGCCCUUUCGGGGGUACACGAGCGGCGAACGGGUGAGUAACACGUGGGUGACCUGCCCUCAGCUCUGGGAUAAGCCUGGGAAACCGGGUCUAAUACUGGAUAUGACUCCAUGACGCAUGUUGUGGGGUGGAAAGCCUCGUGCGGCUGAGGACGGGCCCGCGGCCUAUCAGCUUGUUGGUGGGGUGAUGGCCUACCAAGGCGACGACGGGUAGCCGGCCUGAGAGGGCGACCGGCCACACUGGGACUGAGACACGGCCCAGACUCCUACGGGAGGCAGCAGUGGGGAAUCUUGCGCAAUGGGCGAAAGCCUGACGCAGCGACGCCGCGUGAGGGAUGACGGCCUC
rnacentral:rRNA from 1 species